rnacentral:rRNA from 1 species
CACGUAGGGCGCAAGCGUUGUCCGGAAUUAUUGGGCGUAAAGAGCUCGUAGGCGGUUUGUCGCGUCUGCUGUGAAAACUCGAGGCUCAACCUCGGGCUUGCAGUGGGUACGGGCAGACUAGAGUGCGGUAGGGGUGACUGGAAUUCCUGGUGUAGCGGUGGAAUGCGCAGAUAUCAGGAGGAACACCGAUGGCGAAGGCAGGUCACUGGGCCGCAACUGACGCUGAGGAGCGAAAGCCAGGGGAGCAAACGGG